GAUGAAGAACGUAGCGAAAUGCGAUAAGUAAUGUGAAUUGCAGAAUUCAGUGAAUCAUCGAAUCUUUGAACGCACCUUGCGCCCUUUGGCCAUUCCGAAGGGCAUGCCUGUUUGAGUAACAUGAACACCUCAACUCUUUAUGGUUUUCCAUGAUGAGCUUGGACUUUGGGGGUUUUGCUGGCCUAUGGUCGGCUCCUCUAAAAUAAAUCAGCUUACCAGUGUUUGGUGGGUAUCAUGGGUGUGAUAACUAUCUACGCUUGUGGUUUUUCCGCCAGGUAACCUUCGACAGCGGAGGUUCACUGGAGCUCAUAGAUGUCUCUCCUCAGCGAGGACAGCCCUUUGAAUGUUUGAUCUCAAAUCAGGUAGGACUACCCGCUGAACUUAAGCAUAUCAAUAAGCGGAGGA
rnacentral:misc_RNA from 1 species